rnacentral:rRNA from 1 species
AGAGUUUGAUCCUGGCUCAGGACGAACGCUGGCGGCACGCUUAACACAUGCAAGUCGAACGAGAGAAGAGGAGCUUGCUUUUCUGAUCUAGUGGCGGACGGGUGAGUAACACGUGAGCAAUCUGCCUUUCAGAGGGGGAUACCGAUUGGAAACGAUCGUUAAUACCGCAUAACAUAAUUGAACCGCAUGAUUUGAUUAUCAAAGAUUUAUCGCUGAAAGAUGAGCUCGCGUCUGAUUAGCUAGUUGGUAAGGUAACGGCUUACCAAGGCGACGAUCAGUAGCCGGACUGAGAGGUUGAUCGGCCACAUUGGGACUGAGACACGGCCCAGACUCCUACGGGAGGCAGCAGUGGGGAAUAUUGCACAAUGGAGGAAACUCUGAUGCAGCGAUGCCGCGUGAGGGAAGAAGGUUUUAGGAUUGUAAACCUCUGUCUUCAGGGACGAAAAAAGACGGUACCUGAGGAGGAAGCUCCGGCUAACUACGUGCCAGCAGCCGCGGUAAUACGUAGGGAGCGAGCGUUGUCCGGAAUUACUGGGUGUAAAGGGAGCGUAGGCGGGAUCGCAAGUCAGAUGUGAAAACUAUGGGCUUAACCCAUAAACUGCAUUUGAAACUGUGGUUCUUGAGUGAAGUAGAGGUAAGCGGAAUUCCUAGUGUAGCGGUGAAAUGCGUAGAUAUUAGGAGGAACAUCAGUGGCGAAGGCGGCUUACUGGGCUUUAACUGACGCUGAGGCUCGAAAGCGUGGGGAGCAAACAGGAUUAGAUACCCUGGUAGUCCACGCCGUAAACGAUGAUUACUAGGUGUGGGGGGACUGACCCCUUCCGUGCCGCAGCAAACGCAAUAAGUAAUCCACCUGGGGAGUACGACCGCAAGGUUGAAACUCAAAGGAAUUGACGGGGGCCCGCACAAGCAGUGGAGUAUGUGGAUUAAUUCGAAGCAACGCGAAGAACCUUACCAGGUCUUGACAUCGUAUGCAUAGCUCAGAGAUGAGUGAAAUCUCUUCGGAGACAUAUAGACAGGUGGUGCAUGGUUGUCGUCAGCUCGUGUCGUGAGAUGUUGGGUUAAGUCCCGCAACGAGCGCAACCCUUACUGUUAGUUGCUACGCAAGAGCACUCUAGCAGGACUGCCGUUGACAAAACGGAGGAAGGUGGGGAUGACGUCAAAUCAUCAUGCCCCUUAUGACCUUGGCCUCACACGUACUACAAUGGCUGUCAACAGAGGGAAGCAAAGCCGCGAGGUGGAGCGAACCCCUAAAAGCAGUCUUAGUUCGGAUUGUAGGCUGCAACCCGCCUACAUGAAGUCGGAAUUGCUAGUAAUCGCAGAUCAGCAUGCUGCGGUGAAUACGUUCCCGGGCCUUGUACACACCGCCCGUCAUGCCAUGGGAGUCGGUAACACCCGAAGCCUGUAGUCUAACCGCAAGGAGGACGCAGUCGAAGGUGGGAUUGAUGACUGGGGUGAAGUCGUAACAAGGUA